AAAUCUAUCUUUUUCUGAAACCUUACUCCACUUGCCUUUGUGUUAGUGAAGAUGGUAAUUACAUGGCAACUAAAUCCUCUUAACCAUGAGAUCAAGCUUCUUUUAUUAUUACUUUUUAAAAAUGCAUUACGGUUGUGAAAUGGAUUGCUUAAUUAUAUUUAUUUUUGAGGUUGCCUAUUCGCUUGCUUCGAAGCUUGGCUAACAAUUAAAACAGCUAG
rnacentral:lncRNA from 1 species